UGUGUGUGUUGCAGUAGGAUAGCUUUGUGUCUCCUUAUCAGAGAGGGGGCGAUACUGCGCUACAGACAGCCGCUAUAGAGACUCAAGGGCUCUUACUACCGAGACCUGAUGGUGGUUUGACAGUGUUGCUUGAUCAAGACGUGAUUAUACACGAUUAUGCUUUUGGAUAUGUGCCUUUUAAUAUGUCAUCGUUUAAAUACUAGGACGUGUCGAAUAAUAAGAUGUAGAUCAGACAGAGUAGACGUCCGUCCAUCGCGCCCGGCAAUCUGAAUCAUCACAGGGAUUCGUGACACGGAUUCUGCUGGAGGAAAAAAAAUAUAUAUCUAUAAAUAUAUAUUAUAUAUGGCCACGGCAUCGAGACAUUAGAAACUCCUCUGUUUCAAAUAAACCCCCAUCCUGGACCUCUGACUGGACCAGAGGCCUGUCAAUCAAGCAAUCAGAGGAUACAUGGACUGCCUUCAAGCAGGAAGUUGUCAGUAGAGAAACAGAGGAGUGCUGGUUUUCGACUGCUGUGGAAAAAAUGCACCUCACACACUCAUCUCUUGUUACUGUGCCAAAUGUGUUUUUAGAGGCCUUUCCCAAUCUAAAACCCUCCUGUGGAGAUUCUGACUGCAUUCCCACAUUGACAGAGCUACUGCAAGGAUCUGCAGCAGAAAACAGACCUGAAAAAAAUGGGCAGAGUCUAUUGGACAGCCUUCAGGAUCUGGACCGCAUGAUUGGUGUGAAAUACAAGGUGGCAGAGUCUCUGUCCCGAAAGCUUCUCCUGCAGUCACUGAACCUGAGGACCCUGAACCCUGAGCAUGCAGGCGGCCGUAAACAAAACAUGGCAAGGUUUUCACCGAACCUUCCCACGUCCAACCAGCAGUUAGCAGCUAAUGCUAAAAGAAGACUCUCUUAUGACAUCAACAGAAACAUCAUGUCAUAGUUUCUCCCAACUUUAAAUCACUCUAUUCUUCAACAGCUGGAGAAAGAAUAACUUCAGAUGAAAACAAGCAGAUUUUUUCCCCCUUAAGCCUGUGCCCUCUGUUCCCGCUGCAGUCACACGGAAGAUUAGUUGUUGUAUAUUUAUCUCUGUUAGUAUUUUUGUCCAUUUCCCAACAAUCUAUUUAAAAUCAAAACACAUCACAUGCAUCCUGAUGUUGCUAAAAGACAUUCCUGGGUCAACAAGGAUCAGCUUGAUCAUAUGACAUUACCACAUUUACCUGAGACUAAUUAACUAUAUAGUGAACUUUGCUACUGGUUUUGAUUACACAAUAAAAGCAUUUACCUAAUGUUAGCUUGCUAGUACUUAACAUCAGAUAUCUAAUGCUGGGGAGGGAGCACUGAUGUUAGUUAGGCCAACUACUUAGCUGGUUAACUUAUCGAACGUUGCCAGACUAAUAUUAUUUCUUUCAUUCAUUCAUUCAUUCAUUCAUUCAUUCAUCUAUAUCCGGUGUCAUGGUGGAUUUGGAGCCGAUCCCAAGAACACUGGGCACUGGGUAAGAAUCCAUCACCGGACACCUUGCACACACAUUCAAACAUUCAUUCACACCUAUGGGCAAUUUAGCAUAUCCAAUCCACCUACCAGCAUGUUUUUGGAAGGUGGGAGGAAACUGGAAAACCCAGAGGAAAACCAUGUGGACACAGGAAGAACAGAAACUCUACACAAACAGUAACAAAUGCUGUAUUAUGUCAUUACAUUAUGCCUGGACAAUUGAAAGCACAGGUUAGGGAUAAUUUCACAUAUUACUCCCUUAUUGACCCAGGGAUUCAUUUUCUCAUUUAGCAGAUACGUUUAUCUGUAGUAAAUUGCAAGCAUAGAUAUAGAAGAAGAACAAGAGCAACAAUAACAACAACAAUAAGAACAAUAAUUAUUAAUUAUUAAUUAUUAAAUAUUUAAUAUUAUUAAUAAUUAUUAAAUAAUUUUUAAGGGCUCAGUAGCAUCACUCUGAACUUAGCUUUCAAGUAAUCAAUAAGGAACCUUAACCUAUUAUUACUCCCAGUGUGGACAAUAAGGAUAUUUGGACAUUAAAAUUAUAUAACAUUGAGCUGAAACAAAAUUUACUAGUCCUGUGCCAAAACGUGAUCCAUACUGUUACACUUUACAUUUUCUUCUUUGUAAUGACGUUUCAAUUGUUCUGGUUCUUGUCUCUCAAAUUACAUUUGUUUCAGAUUAAAUGUUUGUUGUCCAAAUUAUCAUCCUAGCUCACUGUUCAAUGAAAUGAAUGAUGAAUAUUUGGAUUUUUUUUCAGACCAUUAAAAUCUAACUGCUUUUAUUUUCUUUAUUUUUCAUUUGAAUCAGACAAUUACAAUGUGCCAUUUUUACCAAAUGUGAAAUUCUGAAGAAUAAAAACUAUUUUCUCAGUUUGAUGAUCAUGUACUCCUGUCAACAUGUUAAUAAUAAUGAUGAUGAUAAUAAAAAAAAGUAAUCAUUGGAUUUGAGCUUGUUUCUGCAAAUGGCUGAUUGUGGUUGCAAAGACACAUAACACUAUGGUUAUUUAUCACAUACUGAUUUUUCCCAGU
ensembl:lncRNA